UUCUAAAUGAUACUUCUUCUAACAUUGCUGCACUGUUGCCAACAGUGCAGCAAUGUUGGCCAACAGUGCAGCAAUGUUAGAAGAAGUAUCAUUUUGAA
rfam:Strigamia maritima strain Brora ctg7180001226793, whole genome shotgun sequence.